rnacentral:rRNA from 1 species
UAGUGGCGAACGGGUGAGUAACACGUGGGCAAUCUGCCCUGCACUCUGGGACAAGCCCUGGAAACGGGGUCUAAUACCGGAUAACACUGUCCCCCUCCUGGGGGACGGUUGAAAGCUCCGGCGGUGCAGGAUGAGCCCGCGGCCUAUCAGCUUGUUGGUGGGGUAAUGGCCUACCAAGGCGACGACGGGUAGCCGGCCUGAGAGGGCGACCGGCCACACUGGGACUGAGACACGGCCCAGACUCCUACGGGAGGCAGCAGUGGGGAAUAUUGCACAAUGGGCGAAAGCCUGAUGCAGCGACGCCGCGUGAGGGAUGACGGCCUUCGGGUUGUAAACCUCUUUCAGCAGGGAAGAAGCGAAAGUGACGGUACCUGCAGAAGAAGCGCCGGCUAACUACGUGCCAGCAGCCGCGGUAAUACGUAGGGCGCAAGCGUUGUCCGGAAUUAUUGGGCGUAAAGAGCUCGUAGGCGGUCUGUCACGUCG